GAGUUUGAUCAUGGCUCAGAUUGAACGCUGGCGGCAUGCCUUACACAUGCAAGUCGAACGGCAGCAUGAUCUAGCUUGCUAGAUUGAUGGCGAGUGGCGAACGGGUGAGUAAUACAUCGGAACGUGCCCUGUAGUGGGGGAUAACUAGUCGAAAGAUUAGCUAAUACCGCAUACGACCUGAGGGUGAAAGUGGGGGACCGCAAGGCCUCAUGCUAUAGGAGCGGCCGAUGUCUGAUUAGCUAGUUGGUGGGGUAAAGGCCCACCAAGGCGACGAUCAGUAGCUGGUCUGAGAGGACGAUCAGCCACACUGGGACUGAGACACGGCCCAGACUCCUACGGGAGGCAGCAGUGGGGAAUUUUGGACAAUGGGCGAAAGCCUGAUCCAGCAAUGCCGCGUGUGUGAAGAA
rnacentral:rRNA from 1 species